rnacentral:rRNA from 1 species
AACAUAGCCCUAUAAUAAAAUUUAAGGUGCAACCUGCCCAGUGUUUAUAAAAAAAAAUUUAAAAUAUUUGACUUUAAAAUAAAAGGCCGCAAAAUUUUAACUGUGAUAAUGUAGCACAAUCAUGAGCCGCUUAAUUAGCGGAUAGAAUGAAUGGUUUAACGAAAGUUACACUGUAUUAGAGAGAAAUCUAAUAAAAUUUAAAUAAUAGUUAAGAUGCUAUUUAAAAUUGUAAGACGAAAAGACCCUAUAAAGCUUAACUAUAAUCUUUUACUUUUUAAGAAAUUAACAAAGAAAAAAAGAAAUGUUAGUUUAGUUUGGGCCCCGAUGUUUUAAAAAAAAAGAACAUAAUUAGUUAAAUACUGUAUAAAUAAUAAUUUUAACAGUUACAAAGUAGAAUAAAGACCCAUUAUAACAACAAAAAAUGUAUAAUGAUCACUAGAUAAAAGCUACUUUAGGGAUAACAGGAUAAUCUUAUUGAAGAGAAGAUAUCAAAAAUAAGGUUUGUCACCUCGAUGUUGAAUUAAGGUAACCUUUCAAUGCAACAGUUGAAGAAGGUAGGUCUGUUCGACCUUGAAAUACCUUACAUGAUUGA